rnacentral:rRNA from 1 species
AGUGAACGCUGGCGGCAGGCCUAACACAUGCAAGUCGAGCGGCAGCGGGUCCUUCGGGAUGCCGGCGAGCGGCGGACGGGUGAGGAAUGCGUCGGAAUCUGCCUUUUUGUGGGGGAUAACGUAGGGAAACUUACGCUAAUACCGCAUACGACCUACGGGUGAAAGUGGGGGACCGCAAGGCCUCACGCAGAAAGAUGAGCCGACGCCGGAUUAGCUAGUUGGCGGGGUAAAGGCCCACCAAGGCGACGAUCAGUAGCUGGUCUGAGAGGAUGAUCAGCCACACUGGAAGUGAUACACGGUCCAGACUCCUACGGGAGGCAGCAGUGGGGAAUAUUGGACAAUGGGCGCAAGCCUGAUCCAGCCAUGCCGCGUGUGUGAAGAAGGCCUUCGGGUUGUAAAGCACUUUUGUCCGGAAAGAAAUCCAAUCGAUUAAUACUCGGUUGGGAUGACGGUACCGGAAGAAUAAGCACCGGCUAACUUCGUGCCAGCAGCCGCAGUAAAAC